AAUGAACGUUGGCGGCGUGGAUUAGGCAUGCAAGUCGUGCGCGAACUGUAGCAAUACAGGGAGAGCGGCGAAAGGGAGAGUAAUACAUGGAUAGCUACCCUCGGGACUGGGAUAGCGGCGGGAAACUGCCGGUAAUACCAGAUGACAUCUUCGGAUCAAACGUGUGAAUCGGCCCGAGGAGGCGACAAUGUCCUAUCAGCUAGUUGGCAGGGUAACGGCCUACCAAGGCAAAGACGGGUAUGGGGCGUGAGAGCGUGCCCCACUCACUGGGACUGAGAACUGCCCAGACACCUACGGGUGGCUGCAGUCGGGAAUCUUCGGCAAUGGGCGCAAGCCUGACCGAGCGACGCCGCGUGCGGGAUGAAGGCCGUCGGGUUGUAAACCGCUGUCGUAGGGGAGGAAGGCUCCGUGCAGAACGGAGUUUGACCGAUCCUAGGAGGAAGGGCCGGCUAAUCUCGUGCCAGCCGCCGCAGUAA
rnacentral:rRNA from 1 species